rnacentral:snRNA from 1 species
CUUCGCUUCGGCGGUACAUAAACUAAACUAGGAGCGAUAUAAAGAAGGCCAGCAUGGCCCAUGCGCAAGGAAGACAUGCGAAACCGCGGAGCGUUUUUCGUAUUU